rnacentral:rRNA from 1 species
UGUAAGCGUAUACCAAAGUUGUUGCAGUUAAAACGCUCGUAGUCGGAAUUUGGCAGUUCCGGAAGUGUGCACGUCGUGUGCGCACUUUGCGGGGACUGCUUUUGUGGUCUUGCGUAGGAUGAGGCACUUUCAUUAGUGAACGUCCUCACGCAACCACUCUUUACUGUGAGAAAAUCAGAGUGCUCAAAGCAGGCAUUUGCCGUGAAUGUAUUAGCAUGGAAUAAUAGAAUAGGACUCGGUUCUGUUUUGUUGGUUUGUUGGGACUGAGUAAUGAUUAAGAGGGACAGUUGGGGGCAUUUGUAUUCCGGCGCUAGAGGUGAAAUUCUUAGAUUGCCGGAAGACAAACUGCUGCGAAAGCGUCUGCCAAGGAUGUUUUCAUUGA